rnacentral:tRNA from 1 species
GCGGGCGUCGUAUAAUGGCUAUUAUGCGGGCUUCCCAAGCCUAAGACGCGGGUUCGAUUCCCGUCGCCCGCU